rnacentral:rRNA from 1 species
UACGGGGGGGGCGAGCGUUGUUCGGAAUUAUUGGGCGUAAAGGGCGCGUAGGCGGUGCGGUAAGUCUGAUGUGAAACCUCCAGGCUCAACUUGGAGCUUGCAUUAGAAACUGCCGUGCUUGAGCACUGUAGAGGCAGGCGGAAUUCCGGGUGUAGCGGUGGAAUGCGUAGAGAUCCGGAAGAACACCGGUGGCGAAGGCGGCCUGCUGGGCAGUAGCUGACACUGAGGCGCGACAGCGUGGGGAGCAAACAGG